ACCAUUGUCUUGAGUAUGAAAUGAGAAUGCAGGGUUAAAGAAUUUGGAAUGCACGAAUGUACACGGAAAGCUUAUUCGUGGGGAUUAGUAUGGGAAGAAGGAACGCGGACUGGCUAUUGAUUACGUAGGUCUAGUUUAGGAAUGAUGUCAUUGUAUCUAACCGAUGUAUAUGUAUGUGGUGAAUGCAGGUGGCGUGGACUUAGCAUCAUUACGAAGAAAAGAAGGUUUGAAGAUCGAGUCAAGAGCGAGGGUUGUACGGGAAGGAUCAGUCACAUAAUUUGACAAAAAAAAUAUAGGUCUUGAAGUAUUAAUAUAACGGGACGUGGUAAAUUCCUAUUUAAUGAGUGUAUGAAUUUUUGUCUUGGAACCUUCCUGUAAGUAUUAUGUCUAGUAAAGAACGAAAUUUUUGGGCUCUUAUUUUCCGCUGUGUCGUAUUUUAAGUUAUUACACGUUAGUCUUACACGGAAUUGUUCUU
rnacentral:lncRNA from 1 species